rnacentral:rRNA from 1 species
AUUCUGCCAGUAGUCAUAUGCUUGUCUCAAAGAUUAAGCCAUGCAUGUCUAAGUAUAAGCAAUUAUACCGUGAAACUGCGAAUGGCUCAUUAAAUCAGUUAUCGUUUAUUUGAUAAUACCUUACUACUUGGAUAACCGUGGUAAUUCUAGAGCUAAUACAUGCUGAAAAUCCCGACUUCGGAAGGGAUGUGUUUAUUAGAUAAAAAACCAAUGCCCUUCGGGGCUCCUUGGUGAUUCAUAAUAACUUUACGGAUCGCAUAGCCUUGCGCUGGCGACGGUUCAUUCAAAUUUCUGCCCUAUCAACUUUCGAUGGUAAGGUAUUGGCUUACCAUGGUUUCAACGGGUAACGGGGAAUUAGGGUUCGAUUCCGGAGAGGGAGCCUGAGAAACGGCUACCACAUCCAAGGAAGGCAGCAGGCGCGCAAAUUACCCAAUCCCGAUUCGGGGAGGUAGUGACAAUAAAUACUGAUACAGGGCUCUUUUGGGUCUUGUAAUUGGAAUGAGUACAAUUUAAACCUCUUAACGAGGAACAAUUGGAGGGCAAGUCUGGUGCCAGCAGCCGCGGUAAUUCCAGCUCCAAUAGCGUAUAUUAAAGUUGUUGCAGUUAAAAAGCUCGUAGUUGAAACUUGGGUCUGGCUGGCGGGUCCGCCUCACCGCGUGCACUCGUCCGGCCGGGCCUUCCUUCUGAAGAACCUCAUGCCCUUUACUGGGCGUGUUGGGGAAUCAGGACUUUUACUUUGAAAAAAUUAGAGUGUUCAAAGCAGGCCUUUGCUCGAAUACGUUAGCAUGGAAUAAUAAAAUAGGGCGUGCGUUUCUAUUUUGUUGGUUUCUAGAGACGCCGCAAUGAUUAACAGGAACAGUCGGGGGCAUCAGUAUUCAGUUGUCAGAGGUGAAAUUCUUGGAUUUACUGAAGACUAACUACUGCGAAAGCAUUUGCCAAGGAUGUUUUCAUUAAUCAGUGAACGAAAGUUAGGGGAUCGAAGACGAUCAGAUACCGUCGUAGUCUUAACCGUAAACUAUGCCGACUAGGGAUCGGGCGAUGUUCUUUUUCUGACUCGCUCGGCACCUUACGAGAAAUCAAAGUUUUUGGGUUCUGGGGGGAUUAUGGUCGCAAGGCUGAAACUUAAAGAAAUUGACGGAAGGUCACCACCAGGCGUGGAGCCUGCGGCUUAAUUUGACUCAACACGGGGAAACUCACCAGGUUCAGAUGAAAUAAGGAUUGACAGAUUGAGAGCUCUUUCUUGAUUUUUCAGGUGGUGGUGCAUGGCCGUUCUUAGUUCGUGGGGUGACUUGUCUGCUUAAUUGCGAUAACGAGCGAGACCUUACUCUGCUAAAUAGCCAGGCUAGCUUUGGCUGGUCGCCGGCUUCUUAGAGAGACUAUCAACUCAAGUUGAUGGAAGUUUGAGGCAAUAACAGGUUAACCUACACAGGCCUGUAACAGUGGGCCUCGUUAAAGAUAACUGCUAGUCUAGCGUCUUAACCUUCUUUGGGGAAGUCCCCUACUGUCGGGAGAAGGCAAGUUUUACUUGUGACGUAGGCAACACCACCUGGUACAGGGAACGCCGGAUCUGCUAUUGCGUGUGCAGAUUG